rnacentral:rRNA from 1 species
AUUAGAGUUUGAUCAUGGCUCAGGAUGAACGCUAGCGAUAGGCCUAACACAUGCAAGUCGAGGGGCAGCACAUGACGUAGCAAUACAGAUGGUGGCGACCGGCGCACGGGUGAGUAACACGUAUGCAACCUACCUUCCACAGGAGGAUAACCCGUUGAAAGACGGGCUAAUACUCCAUAACACAGGGGUCCCGCAUGGGAAUAUUUGUUAAAGAUUUUUUCGGUAGAAGAUGGGCAUGCGUUCCAUUAGCUAGUUGGUUGAGGUAACGGCUCACCAAGGCAACGAUGGAUAGGGGAACUGAGAGGUUUAUCCCCCACACUGGUACUGAGACACGGACCAGACUCCUACGGGAGGCAGCAGUGAGGAAUAUUGGUCAAUGGGCGCAAGCCUGAACCAGCCACGUCGCGUGAAGGAAGACGGCCCUACGGGUUGUAAACUUCUUUUGUAAGGGAAUAAAGUGUAGUACGUGUACUAUUUUGCAUGUACCUUACGAAUAAGGAUCGGCUAACUCCGUGCCAGCAGCCGCGGUAAUAAU